GGUCCUAAGGUAGCGAAAUUCCUUGUCGGGUAAGUUCCGACCCGCACGAAAGGCGUAACGAUCUGGGCACUGUCUCAACGAGAGACUCGGUGAAAUUAUAAUACCCGUGAAGAUGCGGGUUACCCGCGACAGGACGGAAAGACCCCAUGGAGCUUUACUGUAGCUUGAUAUUGGGUGUUUGUACAACUUGUACAGGAUAGGUAGGAGCCGUAGAAGUCGGAACGCUAGUUUCGAUCGAGGCGCUGGUGGGAUACUACCCUCGUUGUAUGAACACUCUAACCUUCGUCGCUUAUCGCGGCGGGAGACAGUGUCAGGUGGGCAGUUUGACUGGGGCGGUCGCCUCCUAAAAGGUAACGGAGGCGCCCAAAGGUUCCCUCAGAAUGGUUGGAAAUCAUUCACAGAGUGUAAAGGCAUAAGGGAGCUUGACUGUGAGACCUACAAGUCGAGCAGGGACGAAAGUCGGGCUUAGUGAUCCGGUGGUUCCGCAUGGAAGGGCCAUCGCUCAACGGAUAAAAGCUACCCUGGGGAUAACAGGCUUAUCUCCCCCAAGAGUCCACAUCGACGGGGAGGUUUGGCACCUCGAUGUCGGCUCAUCGCAUCCUGGGGCUGUAGUCGGU
rnacentral:rRNA from 1 species